UAGCUUCAGGCUUCCUACUGCCUUCUCGUGCAUAUGGCCCUCCUUUGUUUUCUGUUAGAGAGAAAAUGUCAGAAUUUUAGAUGGUGGUUUUUGCGAUCAUGGCAAGAGUUAAGGAAAUUUUGGUGGAUCCAGUGAUGACUGAUUGAAGCUUCUUCAGCCUGAGUUUCCACUUUUUAUCUUUGGUUGCCUUUUGUUUCGUGAGACCACACCAUAAACUCAUACCAGGAACGAGGAAACACGUCUCUGAGAGCCACUGAAUUAUCACACAUAUAAAGGAUCUGGAACUCUGUUAACCAGCCCACCUUUGGCUUUCCAUGAGACCUAGACUUCUGACGGCCCACAUCUCUCUGAAAUGCAGCCAUGUAGCGUGCUGUUAGCAUGCACAUCAGCUCAAUGGGAAAAGCACAGACCUGCUCCUCCUCAGAACAUCCUUUCCAUCCAUGCUGCGUUGGUGCUUGAUAAAAAGGUGCCCAGAAAGAGAGUGAUAUGGACAUUAAUGACUUCACUUUGGCAUUUCAUGGCAAGGAGUUUUGACAACAAGUGCACACCUAUACUGGAUUGAAAGUCCAAUUGUACCCAGCAAAAAAAGAGUGGUGCAUGUGAGAGAGAAAAAACAAAAGCCUGAAGUCUUUACUUACUGGCAUAACUCAGAAGUAAUUCUUUUGAUGGCACAGUGGUGUCAACCUGAUAGUGGAAGAUGUCUAAAGAUGGCAAAGACAGAUGAGCAGGAGGUUGGCAACAGGAUGCAGAAUAAAGUGAGAACAGAUGCAUAUAGGAUGAGCAUAAAAAUAGA